GAUGAACGCUGGCGGCGUGCUUAACACAUGCAAGUCGAACGAAGCACUGUAUUUGAUUUUCUUCGGGGCUGAUUAUUUUGUGACUGAGUGGCGGACGGGUGAGUAACGCGUGGGUAAGCUGCCUUGUACAGGGGGAGAACAGUAGGAAACGGCUGCUAAUACCGCAUAAGCGCCCAGCAUCGAAUGAUGCUGUGUUGAAAAGUCCGGUGGGAUCAGAUGGACCCGCGUUGGUUGAGCUGGUAGGUGAGUUCACGGCCCACCAAGGCGACGAGCCAUAGCCGAGCUGAGAGGGUGGCCGGCGACACUGGGACUGGGACACGGCCCAGACUCCUACGCGAUGCAGCAGUGGGGAAUAUUGCACAGUGGGCGAAAGCAUGAUGGAGCGACGCCGCGUGAGCGAAGAAGUAUUUGGGUAUGUAAAGCUCUAUCAGCAGGGAAGAUAAUGACGGUACCUAACUAAGAAGCACCGGCUAAAUACGUG
rnacentral:rRNA from 1 species